rnacentral:rRNA from 2 species
CCAGACAGCCAGGAUGUUGGCUUAGAAGCAGCCAUCAUUUAAAGAAAGCGUAAUAGCUCACUGGUCGAGUCGGCCUGCGCGGAAGAUGUAACGGGGCUAAACCAUGCACCGAAGCUGCGGCAGCGACGCUGAUGCGUUGUUGGGUAGGGGAGCGUUCUGUAAGCCUGCGAAGGUGGCCUGUGAGGGUUGCUGGAGGUAUCAGAAGUGCGAAUGCUGACAUAAGUAACGAUAAAGCGGGUGAAAAGCCCGCUCGCCGGAAGACCAAGGGUUCCUGUCCAACGUUAAUCGGGGCAGGGUGAGUCGACCCCUAAGGC